AACCCGUAGAUCCAAACUUGUGUUGACAUUAGACAACAAGCUUACGUCUACUGGU
ensembl:miRNA gmo-mir-100b gmo-mir-100b